rnacentral:lncRNA from 1 species
UUCAAAAUACACAUAUCUACUGAUGAAUUAAGGCGAAACAAGUGUGAUUACUGCGUUCAUUUUUACAGACGCGAUGCCAUUGUGGGCCGAGUAUUACUACUAUCCAGCUAACUUCUUACUGAUUUACAUACAACAAUGGACUGGCAGACCAAAUUCCUUAUGGACUGAGAAACUAUCUUAUUACAUAGUUUGAAGGUUAAACUUUACAUGUUAAAUACACCAACAUUCUAAACUAUAAGCAACAGAAUAAAGGUAACCAUGCUCAUGUUUGGACUGCCAUAACCUUGUGCUUUUAUUCAGCUCCAAACGUAUAAUUACAUCGGUGAAUUUAGAACGUGUACCUGGAUGUUUGGACAAUAAGAAAGAGAAGAAGAAAAAUAUCAGCAGCAAGCCACUCGAACAGCAAACACACAGCAACAACCAGCAACAGUACCCAACAACAAUUGUGAACCCCACAAAUGGUCGAGCAACAAGCAAUAAUCCCAGAAACAGGGUAGUGAAAACAGCCGAAUACCCAGAAUGUUCAAUGCAAAUAACCACAGCAAUACAGUAGUCACAAACAGCUCGACCAAUAACCCAAGACAAUUGGCAAAGACAGCUUGACCAGUUUAAAUUCUUAGACAGUUUUCAGACAAUGGUUGGUUCAAUAUCCUGAAAUUUCUUCUGUUAUUCUUUCUUUUUAAGUUUUUCUCACUCACAGAAUCUCUCUGAAGACUAAAGAAUCUCCCCCUUUUAAGUUCUGAAACAACUCUAUUUAUAGGCAGAAAUGGCAAGCACUCAGCUGCCUUGAACCCCUCCCUUCUUUCCUGCCCAUAACUUCUUUUUUUAAACUAAUCAAAAUAUUCCCCAUGCCCAUCCAUUCGACAGGCUUUCAGCCUGUAUUUUCUACCCAACAACAUGGGCACCCCCUUUUUUAUUCAAUCAGCCCCAUGCUAACAAGUUUGGCUCCCCACUAUUACCUUAUUUUAAUCCUAAUCCAGUACCCUAUUUGUCAGCUCAUUUAAACUAAUCAUUUCUGUUCUUUUUAACACCCAAAUUAACCCUGUUAAUCCCUGGUUAUCACUGUCUUGACCCAUUGCAACAAUAGGGCAUUUUUGAACUUCUGAAAGUCCAAAUUCAGAUCUGCCCUGAACUGAAUCUUUUCAGUUGUUUUGCAAUGCAAACAAACUAAUUUCAACCAAUGUCGAGCAUCCAAUUAACAACCAACAGGUUCGUUCACUUACGUGAAGUUGUAUGAAUUAAGAUAUCUGAACAUUCAGUCAUAGGAAACUAAUCGACGAUGUUUAUCAAGUCGACUCUACUAUUUAUAACAAGAAAUAACCGGUCGAUCACAUAAACAACACGUACGGGGUCCCGAAUGGAUUCAACAACUUUGCCGGAUUCCCUAGGUUCUUGUGUUCUAGGGUUUGGAUCUUCAGAUUUGAGAUUCUAGGAGUUGUGGGUAGAUUCGGACCAAACCAGGCUUGGUUUGGUUAUAAGGGUAGUCAGGGGACUGUCUAGUGUGAAUCUGGGGUGGUUUGGUAUAGAUCGAGUCUUGUCUCGAAUCGUCAAAUGAAGAUUCNNNNNNNNNNNNNNNNNNNNNNNNNCAGAAUGAGAGGAUUCGAGCCAAGCUGUAAGUGGAUUCAGAUUCAGGGGGUUGAGGUGCCUCAGGGGUGUAAAGGGGGUGGUCACCGACGUCCUUGCCGCCGGCUUUAAUGGUGAGGGAAAAGGGGGCGGCGUUAGGGUUUCAUGGGGUUCGGGUUUUGGUGAAGAAGACGAGUGAAGGGGUGCUUGGAUAGGGGGGCGUGGGGUAUGAUGAAGGGCUUAUAUACAUAACGGGUAAUUAGAUCCUGGCCGUUGGAUGAAUCGAUAUUGAUGGCCAGGAUCUUUCACUUAAUACGGAACGACAUCGUUUGGCCUUGGUUGGGGGGUCGAUUCGAACUGGUUACUGGGUCGGGUUUGGAAACGGGUUAUUGAAAAGGAAUCCUGGGCCGUUGGAUUGGCCUGGACGGAUGGCUCAAAUUAAAUGGCUCAUACGGCGUCGUUUUGGGGUCGUGCCUGGGCAGGCCUGGUUUGGACCGGAUGGUGCAAUUGAUUUUGGGCCUCAAAAUUUAGAACAAAAAUAGGCCCAGCCCGAUUUCUAAACAAUUUGCACUAAUUCUUUUGUUUUUCUAAUUUUAAACACAAUUAAAAUAAAAUGAAAUCUAAAACAACCAUUAAUUAACACUUAACACAUUUAUCACACACAUAUUAAAAUUUUUAAGUAGGUUAAAUCACAACCUAGAAUAAAAGAUGCAUUCAUAUUUUUUGUGAAUUUUCUUUUAAUGACCGAAUUAUGGUUUAAUUACACACGAUAUACAUAUUUUGUAUUUUUUUUUUGAUAAGAUCAAAUGAAAAACGGACAGAACCACAAAUGACUAACAGCAUACGUCACAAAAAAUCGAAAAAUUGUACAGCGAGGCCAUUUUGCAUUUAUUUUUGAUUUCUUUUUGGAGUGAUUGUCCGUGAAGCAAAAAUCACGUGCUUACACAAAUCACCAUCACAUUCAAGCCUAAGGAUUCCAAAACUUCCGAAUUCCGCAAACGACGUAAAAACCUAUCAAACCUCAUCCGAAUUACCUGAAAUUCUGCACACACGCCACAAAUGACUCAACGGACCUACUCCAAUUUUUGAAAUUCCAAUCCGACCCCGAUAUCAAGAUUUUCACUACGGACGGGAAAAUGCCAAAUUUCUAAUUUCGUCAAUUCAAGCCUAAAUCUACCACGGACCUCCAAAAUAAAUUUCGAACAUGCUCCUAUGUACAAAAUCACUUAACCGAGCUAUCCGAACAAUAAAAACCAAGUUCCGAGAUCAUGUACUCACAAGUCAACUUCCGGUUGACUUUUCCAACUAAAGCUUCCAAAUAAGAGACUAAGUGUCUCAUUCCACUCUAAGCCCACUCCGAACACAACACAACUAAUGCGAUAUGAUUAAAUAUAGCUGAACAACACACAAGGAAGAAAAAUUGGGGGAAACAGAGCGAUAACUCAUGAAAUUACCGGCUAGAUCGUUACAUCCUCCCCCUCUUAACCAAACGUUCGUCCUCGAACGAGUCAAGAAACAUACCUAAAGCCUCAAACAAGUGGAGAUAUCUGCUCCGCAUCUUCCGCUCGGUCUCCUAGGUAGCCUCCUCCAUGGGCCAACCUCUCCACAGCACUUUCACUAAAGUUAUGUCCUUUGAUCUCAACUUUCGAACCUGCCGCUCCAAAAUAGCCACUGGCUCCACAUCAUAAGUCAAAUCACUGUCUAACUGAACCGUGUUGAAAUCCAAAACAUGGGACGGAUCGCCAAUAUACUUUCGGAGCAUAGAAACAUGAAAUACCGGAUGCACACUCGACAAGCUAGGUGGCAAAGCAAGCUUAAAAGCCACCUUCGCAAUCCUUAGAAGCACCCCAAAAGGCCCAAUGAAUCGAGGACUCAAUUUACCCUUCUUUCCAAACCUCAUAACACCCUUCAUGGAUGAAACCUUUAGUAGAACCUUCUCCCCAACCAUGUAAGACACAUCACGAAUCUUCCUGUCAGCAUAACUCUUUUGUCUUGAUUGCGCUGCACGAAGUCGCUCCCGAAUCGCCUUCACUUUGUCCAAAGCAUCCUACACCAAGUCUGUACCCAAAAGUCUAGCCUCACCCGGCUCAAACCAAUCUACUAGAGAUCUAUAUCGUCUCCCAUAUAAAGCCUCAUAUGAAGCCAUCUGAAUACUUGACUAAUAACUAUUGUUAUAUGCAAACUCUACGAGCAGUAGAAAUUAACUCAUGAACCCCCAAAAUCAAUGACACAAGCUCGCAACAUGUCCUCUAAUAUCUAAAUAGUGCGCUCGGACUGCCCGUCCGUUUGAGGGUGAAAAGUUGUUCUCAACUCAACCUGAGUACCCAACUCUCGCUGUACGGCCCUCCAGAACUACGAUGUGAACUGAGUACCUCUAUCUGAAAUGAUGGAAACUGGGACACCAUGCAAGUGAAAAAUCUCUCGGAUAUAAAUUUCUACUAACCGCUCUGAAGAAUAAGUAGUACACAUAGGAAUGAAGUGCGCGGACUUGGUCAGCGGAUCCACAAUCACCCAAAUAGAAUCGAACUUCUUCAAAGUCUGUGGGAGUCCAACUACAAAAUCCAUGGUGAUCCGCUCCCACUUCCACUAUGGAAUAUCUAACCGCUGAAGCAAGCCACCCUGUCUCUAAUGUUCAUAUUUCACCUGCUGACAAUUGAGACACUGACCUACAAAUCCUACAAUAUCCUUCUUCAUUCUUCUCCACCAAUAAUGCUGUCUCAAAUCCUGAUAUAUCUUCACGGUGUCACACCUCCUUUUUCCACCCCAAAAGGGGUAUAGGGGAGUUUUUCCAAUUAAACUAACAAUAACCAAAACAUGAUUAUUUAUUCAAAUUCAGAGUUGCCACUUGGGAUGAUUUAUGGUGUUCCAAGUCACCGGCUUAAAAUCCUGAAUUGAGGAAAGUAGACUCUUAUUUAUAGUCUACAAAUAUAGAAAUCCGAGUAAGGAAUUCUGUUAACCCGGGAGAAGGUGUUAGACAUUCUCGAGUUUCUUGGUUUUAGCACGGUCGCUUAACUAUUAAUAAUUGACCUAAUUAUCUGAUUAAUUCCACAUUUUAAACCUACGUGCAUUCUUUUCAACCUCUUUUAACACUUAUGGAAUUAUUUUACGGAACAAGGCACGAUUGUUGUACACUUGUCAAUUUUGAAAACAUUGCGAAUCACGUCACAUAAAAUGCACCCGCGAUUUACAACAUGUUUAUUUUUAAAUAUUAUUUGAAGUUGUUAUGACCGGGUCACAUGAAAUGCACACCCAAAUUUGGGAAUUAUAUAUCAUGACUAUGCCAUGGGAACCAUACCUAUAAUCAUGAUAGUUAAUUAAUCGCGCUUAAAAUAUUCUACGGAUAUUCAUAAUUAUUCUCCUGAAGCUAAUUUGAAAUUGUAAUUAUUUAAAGUAUAUACUAGGUUAUGGCUACUGUAAUACAUAUCGACCUCUUUUUCAGAAUUUGGGAGUUCUAAUUUUUAAGUUGAAACCACAAAGGAAAGUUUCCACAAACUUCCUCAAACCCCAAAAUCAGCUGAACUAAUAGCCAAGAUUGAAACUUUACAAGAUGGGUCUCAAGGAUUUCUAUUAUUUAGAGCAACAGAAAGACCUUCAGAUUUAACAAAUCCAGAUGUUCACUUUUUGGUAACAACUUGAAGUUUACUUAGUUAAAAAUGACUGUAGCACCUAAAGUAUAGUGUAGCCCCAAUAAUCUUGAAAUAGAACUCUUUGGAAAAAGAGGCAAAGUGCUAAAGCGUAACAACAUACUAAUAAUAAAGAUAACAACAAAAGAUGGAGCGUGAGUUUAGCCAAGAGAUUUCAAAAAAGGGUACAUAUCUUCAGGAAAUAGACAAAUGAACUAAGGCGACGAACAAGGAUGAAAUAAUACCGAAGAGCAACAAUAGCCGAUAUCAUUCAAACGAUUAUCAAUCAACCAAAAGAAAUAAAUCUCUGAAACACAUAAACUAGAACAUGAAUACAAAUCACAGUUGGAUGAAAUACAUGAUGGAUUCAAAGUGAUAAGAACCCUUUAAAAUUCCCUUUAAACCCCAUUCCUGUAUAUCAUCCCUUGACUUUAUUAAAUCCAACUGACAUCGAGACCCAAAGCAAGGUUGUUAGUUAUUCAAGUCCAAUGCACUAGAACAGACUAAACCCCAAAGGGGGAGAUUAGAAUAAAUUACUCACAUGCUCAGACUUAUUCUAUAUGAAUGAAAAGCUUUCCCUACAUACCAAUCCAAGCAUAUUCACAUAGCAUUCAUCACAUUUCAUCACUUUAAGACAUGUAUAAACAAUAUCAUAGAUCUCUGGACAAUGUGAGCAAUGACUAAUGGUGCAACAGUGCACUUCAUCUAGAAUAUUUACUGCUCAAACUAUCCACAGGAUCACACAAUUCACUGAGCGCUCAACUAUCUGAACAUUCUUUCAUGGUCAUUCAAUGAUCAGUCAACAAUUGGCUGUUUCAUAAAUUGACAUGCUUGAGUCUCAGAAGGGGCUAAAGCAAACAAAAGGAAAACUUGAUUUCGCACGAUUAUUAUUGGUUAAGACAUGACCAAGAACUUUGAGGGAAUUAAAACAGACCAUCUUAAAUUGACACGCCUACUCAUUAUACCAUCUCAAUCUCUGACUCAAACAGGAACUAAUUAAAGCUAAACAAUUUAAUAAAUCAAAACCAUACGAAAAUACAUUCUUGUACAAACACAUGAAUAACAGCUUAGGAUUCCAGAGAACUCGAGUGUGAAACAAUAAGAUCAAUUAGUUAUUUAUGCUGCCAAGGGAAGAAUUCCAACAAAUGAGCAAUGAACCUCAUCUUAGACACUCUACAUUCCAUUUGAUUCAAAUUUACUAUUCAUGCGAGAUAGAACGUGUCUCCGCGGGGCAGUAGACACGUUAUAAUGCCCUUUUAGACUAGAUUUCUCACAUAAAUGCAAAACUAAGUAUAGAAAUACUAUUCCGUUUAGUCAGAACUUCUGGAAUUUCAACUCGCAAUAAUGUUCUUCCUUAUCAUAACCAUUAAUUAGAGAAGAUUUUAACGACAACACGAUAAAUUCUGAUUUCUAGUACACUUUGAACACAGAUAUAGUAAUAGAACAUCUCAAUAGAAUUCGAAGAAGCAGAUUUAAUUCAAUCAUUCUGCUAGCUAGGUUCUUAUCCAGUUGAAAUUACACCAAAAUAAAACUAAAGGAAGCGAAGAUGAACCUGAAGCGAGCUUUCAAUUAAUGUUGAAAUAAUUAGCAGAGGUACAAAUGAAUCUGGAUAUGCAAAUUCCAGCAGCGAGCAAAACAUUGAGCAACGACCAAAAAGCUAACCGAACACGAACACAACGGAACAUCAGAUAGAACCUCAACACAUCAAUCGAACUCUAUUUUUAGAACGAAAAUUCAAAGAACAGUAGCUCCAAUUUCAAGAUCAAUCGCAAAAUCAAAAAAGAGAACAGAAUACAUAUUUUUGUUUUGAUUCUGUUUCUAUUCCCUCCUCUUUCUAUCCGUACUCCUCUGUUCCUCUUACUAUGCGUGUCUGUGUGGUUUCCUGGUUUCGGCCAUUUCUGGUGGUGAAGGAGUAGCAGACGGUCUACUGUGAGGUGAAGAAGAAGGAGCGACAACGAGGGGGUGUAUUGGUGUGAGGUUGGCGACAAUGAGUUAGGAGAUGAGGAGUUAAGAGUUGGGGCAUGGUUUGUCACGGCUGUCGCUGGAGUUCAGAAGAAGAAGGUUUUUUGUUUUGGUGUUCUAAUGGUGAAGAAAAAAGUUCGGGGGGGGGGUCCGGUACUUU